CUCCUAUUGCGCGCGUUAUGAUUUGGUCCCUUUUUGUGUUUUCCAUUUUUGAAUUCGGCCCCUAAACUCCGUUUAUUUUCAAUUUAAUCUUUAAUCUGUCACUUUAGAUUUUUUUUUAAAUUAAGUAUUUUAAUAUUAUUAAUACUGUUAUAUUGCAUCAUUAUUAUUGUAUUAUUAUUAUUUUGUUUAUACCCUUUAAAUUCUAAAAUUUUACUAU
rnacentral:lncRNA from 1 species